GCUUCCUGGGAGGACCACAUCAGAGAGAUACCGCAUCUGAGAAGAGAAGCGGCCAGCUCAGUAGCCUCACUGUCAGGGUUAAUGAGAAAGAUGCCCUAACCCCACCCCUUCACCCGCUGCGGGACCAGACAAGAAGGAGUCUGAUGCUUGGGCUGUGGCCACCAGCUACGUGCCUGCCCCACCCUUUCCCUCCCACCCACCCCAGGGAGGGGAUUCCUGCAAGGACCUCUGGCAGAAGGGUGUGUUGAAGGUCAGUGACUACAGUGGCUAAUGACUCAAUCAUCGUGGAGCCGGAUGGUGAGUAAAAUUCUUUAGUUGUCAUUAUAUUUAUGUUUCCCUUUAAGUCCUUGAAUAUACUUAUUAUAGCUGCUUUAAGGCCUUUGCGUGUCAAUCUCCAUUUUCUAGGUUUGUUUUUAUUUACACAUUUUCAUCCUGGUUAUUAGUCAUCCUUCCUGUAUUUUGGCAUAUGUAGUCAUUUUUUAUUGGAUGCUGAGCACUGUAACUGUUAUGUCACUGAAUCUGUAGAUUUUGUUGGCAGGCAGUCAAUUUACUGGCAGAUUGGCUUGAGUGUUUUGCAGCUUGUGUUCAGGCUUUGCUAGGGAUGGUCUCGAGUGGUUGUUUAGCUGUCAGCUCUCUAGUGGCAUUUUUUUCCUUGGUGAUGGGUCUUCACCCAUUCUUCUGGAGUUUCACCCUUUGUACGUACAGCUUGGCAUUCAGCAAAGAUUCAGGGGGAACACACAGAUUUCUGAAGCUCUUUUUCUGUAUUGCUCCCUUGUCUCUGGGAUGCUAUUGCACAAUUUCCAUACAUCCCAGCCUCUUCCAACUCCAGUCUUUGUCCUCUCAGCUCAGUGAGACCACCAUGCUCUUCAUAGGCCCCCCUUCCUUGUGCUACAAUCUGGAAAUGGUCCCAAGGCAGAAAUCUGGGAGAGCAGUAGAGUUCACCUCAUUUGCUUUCCUUCUGUCUGGGUUCACAGUCCUGCACUGCACGUUGCCUACUGCCUGCAAAUAAUGGUUUCACAUAUUUAAACUAGUUCUCUAGUUUAUGGCACGAGGGUUACUCAGUCAUAACUGGAAGUGGUCACAAACCCUUACUAAAUGUGUAGUGCAUUUCAGCCUCUGUGCUAGUUACUAGGAUACGAAGUUGAGUGUAAGUACAUUGGCACGUGGUAGAGGAAAUGAAACUCAGAGCGGGGAGAUAAUUUGCCUAAGACAAAGCUGUCGGUUGGUACCAGGAGGAGUGUCCAGGCGUUUUACAUUCUCAGGCUGUUCUUUAUGCACAAGCCAUAUCAUUUUUCCCUCAGCUUAGCGCCUCUGAGCACUUUCUCCCCCUCAGUCCCUGUCUUCUAACAUUUGGAAUACUGACUCCUUCAACCAGCUCCUCUCCAACACCUCCCCAACCCCUCUUUCAGACUAGCUGGGAAAGUUUUCUCAGGCCCACAUGUAACAGACCAUUUAGAAGGAUUGAGACCCAUGCCAUCACGAGCCAGUGGGUUGAGCUUUGUGAUUCUCUCCACUUGGACAUCUGCUUCAGAUUUUCCCCAAAGUCCCUUCACGCCAACAUGCAACAAGAUGAGCCCAUGUCGAGGAAAUUGUGCCCCAAAUAGCAACAUCUAAGCAAAUGGGAUCCAUCAAAAACUAAGCAGAGUAAUAAACAUCUGCCUCUGUGCAUCAGGCCCCAAGGGGCUGAGGGUCACAAAUAAAAGGCCUCUUUUCUCCAGGAGCAUUCAUUCAAGGGACUGGCGUUGGCAGACACCUCCUGCUGCUGGAUUUUCAGGGUCUGCCUCAGAUAUAGAUGUCCGCCUUUCCCAAGGUCAUGCUCUUACCAGGGUGGCCCACAUCUGGGGACAAAAUUGGGUGGGAGGAUAAAGGUCCAGGUAUUUUAGUCUGAAGCAGGACGACUCAGAUGGACACCACUUGUUCUAGAGCUCCUGGCCAGGUUGGCCGAAGCUUUGUCAAGGCUGCGUCAUGACUCAGCUUCUCCCUCUGCCCAGUCCUGCCCCGUCUCCCUUCCUUUCACAGGCGAUGAUUCCUGAUAAACGACUUCUGCCCAAGCUCUGACUCCACAUCUGUACCCAGACUACCUACACUGUGACGUAGGAAGCCACCACUGGGCUUUGGCAGCUACACAGGGUCCAGGUUCCCUGCAGCCUCAAGGUCAGGCAGUGGGUGAUGACCCCCCAGGAAGGUCACCCUGAUGCACAGGUUCUGGCCCCUCACAACUCUCCACCUCCCUUCUUUACCAGUGGGACAGAAAAUUGACAUGAACACCCAGAAUAUAUCGGGAAAUAACAUUAGAUAUUUACUGAGUGUACAUUCGGACCCAGGCAGUAUACUCAAUGCUUCCCAUGUGUGAUCACAUUUAAUCCCCACAGGCAAUCCCACACGGGAGGUCACCUUAUUGUCCCUAUUCGCUAAAGGACUUUCCUCUUCCCUGGCCUGUGUCUGCAAAACGUUGGGGCAAGUCCAUGGGCAGGUGAUGUAUGAUUAUCUCAGGCCCCCUCCAGGAAUCUGGCCCCAACUUCUAGGGCAUGAGACCCUCACAGCAGCUUCCUUUCAUGUCUGGCUGGUGCUUACGUCCUUCUUUUCCUCGUUCCUCCCCCAACUUUCAAUUCUUCAGAUCUGGCAGCUCCCCGCACGGGGCCCACUGACAAAUCAGAGGCACUUUCAGAGCUCCACCCCCACCCUCAAGACUAGGAAGGCGAGAAGCACGCAGCCCACAUCCUGUAUUUGAGCCCAAUUCCCACAAGUGGUUCAACCUAGGCAAGUCUUUAUGUAACAGCUUUCAGCUUCCCUCCAGCUUAGCAAACACCCACUUGGGGUCCCAAGAGGUCACUCAUUCACUCAUCCGUUUAUCAAUGAUGCACUACCAGUGGUGAACCUACUGUGGACAGGGGCCGGCUGGAAGGACACAGAUGAAUGACCUGUUCGUCUAUUCUUACACUUGUUUAUUUAAUAAUGACUUGCUUUAUUUAUUUAUUUAUUUUUGGCUGUGUUGGGUCUUCGUUUCUGUGCGAGGGCUUUCUCUAGUUGCGGCGAGCGGGGGCCACUCUUCAUCGCAGUGCGCGGGCCUCUCACUGUCGCGGCCUCUCUUGUUGCGGAGCACAGUCUCCAGACACGCAGGCUCAGUAGUUGUGGCUCACGCGCCCAGUUGCUCCGCGGCAUGUGGGAUCCUCCCAGACCAGGGCUUGAACCUGUGUCCCCUGCAUUGACAGGCAGACUGUCAACCACUGCGCCACCAGGGAAGCCCUGAGGUCCUAUUCUGUUUGAAGCACAAGUCCUAGAAAUAUGUGGGGUGAGAGCGGGGAAGCAAGAAACAGUCUUUAUUUAUUUAUUAUCGAAGCAGAGUUGAUCUACAAUGUUGUAUUACUUUCUGCUGUACAGCAAAGUGAUUCAGUUAUACAUACAUAUACAUUUAUUUUUACAUCCUUUUCCAUUAUGGUUUAUCACAGGCUAUUGAAUAUAGUUCCCUGUGCUAUACAGUAGGACCUUGUUGUUUAUCCAUUCUAUAUAUACUCGUUUGUAUCUGCUAACCCCAAACUCCCACUCCAUCCCUAACUCCCCCUCACCCUUGGCAACCACAGGUCUGUUCUCUAUGUCUGGGAGUCUCUUUCUGUAACAAAUAGUCUUGACCUUACACUCCACUUAGUGGAAGGGAGAAGGGCUAGAGUCCAUGAUUAAACUACUUUACCAUAGUCCCGUCUCACACACAAAGUCCAGAAGAAUGGGCAAGACAUUUUUAGUUCAAGUUUAACAGCAAAAGGCGUUCUCAGAGAGGUGGGUAGUUCUUUUGGGGAGCUGAGUCUUUCUAUUUAGAUCCUCUGGGUGUGUCACAGGCCAGUUCCUCUCACCAAGGAGCAAAUACCUCUGUCUGAACCUGCUCUCUCCCCUCCCCCUCAUGGACACUUGGCCUCAUUUAGCCUCCCUCCCAGCGUCCUGCCCCGUAGCUGGGCCUCUCUCAGCACACAUCCCAUGCGUCUCCAGGCUGAAGUGAUGAAAGAGCCUGUCUCUUCCUCUGACUUGAGGCACAUUAACAAAAGCCCCUUCUGUUACACCAAGUGUAGGCCUGAACUAGGUCCCAGAAAGCAAGGUGGGAGGUGCCAAGCCUCAGGAAUGUGUGCAAGUUGGGACAAACAAGAAAAACCCAUUUUGCCAUAUUUAGAACACAGCAUUUCUUUAUCCUUUUUCUGCAUUUUUCCCUUCUAACUUCCCUGGCAUUCUGCCUCUGCUUCGUCCAUUUUUUCAGUCCAUACCUAUUUCCACAGGGAGCUGGGUCACAGACUCAUUCCUAUAUCCCUAUUCCUAUCCCCAUUCACCCUCCCAGCUUUUGGGAGACAUCCUCUAUCCCAGCAAGAGACUGAGGGGUUGGGGGACACAGCACCUUCUCAGGCCACAAGCCCAGGUAUUGAGCCACUCACCAACCACCACCAGAGGGCGCUACUUCCCCUUGCCUCCUGCUACCAAGGCACUCUCCAAAACUCUACCUGGACCAGUGACAGUGCCUCACUUUCUUCACUGGCUAAUAAAAAGCCACAUUUGUUGUUUUUUUUUUUUUCAAUAAAAACAUAUGUAUUGCCCAUUCCACUUAUUUUCCACUUUUUUUUUUUAACAUCUUUAUUGGAGUAUAAUUGCUUUACAAUGUUGUGUUAGUUUCUGCUGUAUAACAAAGUGAAUCAGCUAUACAUAUACACAUAUCCCCACAUCUCCUCCCUCUUGCGUCUCCCUCCCACCCUCCC